rnacentral:miRNA from 1 species
CUUCCCCGGUCAGGGCUCGGC